AGAGUUUGAUUCUGGCUUAGAACAACGCUGGCGGCGCGUUUUAAGCAUGCAAGUCGAGCGGCAAGGUCCGCCCUAGAGCGGCGGACGGGUGAGUAACACGUGGACAAUCUGCCCCCCGGCCGGGGAUAGCCCAGGGAAACCUGGAUUAAUACCGGAUGACGGGACGCACGAUGGUGCGGUCCGGGAAAGGCGCUGCGGCGCCGCCGGGGGAUGAGUCCGCGACCCAUUAGCUGGACGGCGGGGUAAAGGCCCACCGUGGCGACGAUGGGUAGCCGGCCUGAGAGGGUGGACGGCCACAUUGGAACUGAGACACGGUCCAGACUCCUACGGGAGGCAGCAGCUAAGAAUCUUCCGCAAUGGGCGAAAGCCUGACGGAGCGACGCCGCGUGAACGAGGGUGAUUGAGUUCUUUUCGGGAGGGGGAAUAAUCCCGGAACAAGCCCCGGCAACUACGUGCCAGCAGCCGCGGUAACACGUAGGGGGCGAGCGUUGUUCGGAAUCAUUGGGCGUAAAGGGCGUGCAGGCGGCACUGCAAGUCCGGCGUGAAAGACCCCGGCCCAACCGGGGGGGUGCGCUGGAAACUGCGGUGCUUGAGUACAGGAGGGGAUGCCGGAAUUCCAGGUGUAGGGGUGAAAUCUGUAGAUAUCUGGAAGAACACCGAUGGCGAAGGCAGGCAUCUGGCCAGUACUGACGCUGAGACGCGAAGGUGCGGGGAGCAAACAGGUUUAGAUACCCUGGUAGUCCGCACAGUAAACGAUGUGCACCAGGUGGCGGGGGUAGAACCCCCGGUACCGUAGCAAACGCAUUAAGUGCACCGCCUGGGGAGUAUGCUCGCAAGGGUGAAACUCAAAGGAAUUGACGGGGGCCCGCACAAGCGGUGGAGCAUGUGGUUUAAUUCGAUGGUACGCGAGAAACCUUACCAGGGCACAUAACCGGAAGCGCCGUGAAAGCGGCGUGCUUGCCGGUAAGGUGCUGCAUGGCUGUCGUCAGCUCGUGCUGUGAAGUGUUGGGUUAAGUCCCGCAACGAGCGCAACCCCUGCCGUCUGUUGCCACCACGAAAGGUGGGGACUCAGGCGGGACCGCCGGUGACAAACCGGAGGAAGGUGGGGACGACGUCAAGUCAUCAUGGCCCUUAUGUCCUGGGCCACACACGUGCUACAAUGGCCGGUACAGAGCGCAGCGAGGCCGCGAGGCGGAGCGAUCGCUUAAAGCCGGUCCCAGUACGGAUUGGAGUCUGCAACCCGACUCCAUGAAGUUGGAAUCGCUAGUAAUCGCGCAUCAGCAUGGCGCGGUGAAUACGUUCCCGGGCCUUGUACACACC
rnacentral:rRNA from 1 species